ACAGCAGCCACACACACACACAGCAAAAUGCCUGAAGCUGAGGUAGUAUACUCCGAUGUGAAGCUUGCAAGAGGAAAAAAGAGAGCCAAUGAGGCCGUUACCACAUCGACUGACUCGACUUACUCUGAAAUCAAGAUCUCAAAGACUCAGCCAUCCACAGCAGAGCUGUCUGAGGAUCCUCAACAAGCUGUGGUGAGGAAAGGGUCAAAGGUCACCUCAGAGAGAGUGGUCCUGGUGGUUCUCGGUGU